AAUCAACGCUGGCGGCGUGCCUAACACAUGCAAGUCGAACGCGAAAGCCCCGCAAGGGGUCAGUAGAGUGGCAAACGGGUGAGUAACACGUGGGUGAUCUGCCUCAGAGUGGGGGAUAAC
rnacentral:rRNA from 1 species